ensembl:rRNA 5S_rRNA 5S ribosomal RNA
GUCUAUGGCCAUACUACCCUGAACGCGCCCGAUCUCAUCUGAUCUCGGAAGCUAAGUAGGGUCGGGCCUGGUUAGUACUUGGAUGGGAGACCGCCUGGGAAUACCAGGUGCUGUAGGCU